UCUCUGUUCUUUUCCAAGGCCAAGGAUUAAAUAUCAUGGUAAUCCCAGUCUAUGCCCCGACCAGUAAUGCUGAAGAAGCUGAAGUUGAACGGUUUUAUGAAGACCUACAAGACCUUUUAGAACUAACACCCAAAAAAGAUGUCCUUUUCAUUAUA